rnacentral:rRNA from 1 species
AACGAACGCUGGCGGCAUGCCUAACACAUGCAUGUCGAACGAGACCUUCGGGUCUAGUGGCGCACGGGUGCGUAACGCGUGGGAACCUGCCCUUAGGUUCGGAAUAACUCCCCGAAAGGGGUGCUAAUACCGGAUAAUGUCUUCGGACCAAAGAUUUAUCGCCUUUGGAUGGGCCCGCGUUGGAUUAGCUAGUUGGUAGGGUAAAAGCCUACCAAGGCGACGAUCCAUAGCUGGUCUGAGAGGAUGAUCAGCCACACUGGGACUGAGACACGGGCCAGACUCCUACGGGAGGCAGCAGUGGGGAAUAUUGGACAAUGGGCGAAAGCCUGAUCCAGCAAUGCCGCGUGAGUGAUGAAGGCCUUAGGGUUGUAAAGCUCUUUUACCCGGGAUGAUAAUGACAGUACCGGGAGAAUAAGCUCCGGCUAACUCCGUG